rnacentral:rRNA from 1 species
ACAGCGUAAACUUAACAUGAAGUGAAGCAUGUAAACCUGCUGAAUUUAAGCAUAUAAGUAGGCGGUGGAAAAUGAACCAAAUGGGAUUCCUUAAGUAAUUGCGAAUGAACAAGGAAAUGCUCAGCUUGAAAAAUGGGGCCUUUGGUUUUGAGUUGUAAUUUUGAAAUGUAUUGCCAAUGGAGGCGCAGGUGCAAGCCUAUUGAAAGAAAGCGUCAAUGAGGGUGAGAUUCCUUUUUGUCAUUUGCAGUCGUCCAUGCACGGUAUAUAUUUGACGAGUCACACUCCUCGGCAUUGGAAUGCAAAGUGGGUGGUAAAUUCCAUGUAAAGGUAAAUAUAUUAUUGAGACUGAUAGCAAACAAGUACCAUGAGGGAAAUAUGAAAAGGACUUUGAAAAGAGAAUUAAAAGAGUCUGCAUUUGCUGAACAGAAAGCAAACAGAAUUGAUUUUACUUGGUGAGAUUGUUGUGCUUACUCUAUCAUUUAUAUGGUUGAUGUGGGUGCGAUGGUUCUUACCUUGAAUGUCAGCUUCUAUUUCUGCAAAUCAUUACCCUUGCACAUGAAUGGUAAUUUGCCUGCGGGUAUUGGAAUGCAUGUGUUUGCAAUGAUUUGUGAUUUGACGCAUGUGUUUGGUGAAAUUUGUAUAUGCUCUUUUGUCGAAGGGGAAAGCUUACUUUUUUGAGCAUUGCUAGCCCUUACACAUCAGUGCUGGCAAAAUGUUUCUGCUUGACCCGUCUUGAAACACGGACCAAGGAGUCUAACAGAUGUGCAAGUUCGUGGGUGGCAAACCUUUUUGCSCAAUGAAAGUAUUGGCUGGGAUACUUGCACCAGCAGCCGACCAAUUAGCAGACAGAGGUUUGAGUUUGAGCAUAUCUAUUAGGACCCGAAAGAUGGUGAACUAUGCCUGAACAGAAUGAAUCAGAGGAAACUCUGAUGACGUA